UUGUUCACAAUGGGCGCAAGCCUGAUGACGCAACGCCGCGUGGGGGAUGAAGGUCUUCGGAUUGUAAACCCCUGUCGAAUGGGACGAAAGACUCGCGUAUUAACACCCCGGAGGUCUGACGGUACCGAUUGGUGAAGCCCCGGCUAACUCUGUGCCAGCAGCCGCGGUAAUACAGAGGGGGCAAGCGUUGUUCGGAAUUACUGGGCGUAAAGGGCGCGUAGGCGGCCACCUAAGUCAGACGUGAAAUCCCUCGGCUCAACCGGGGAACUGCGUCUGAUACUGGGUGGCUUGAAUCCGGGAGAGGGAUGCGGAAUUCCAGGUGUAGCGGUGAAAUGCGUAGAUAUCUGGAGGAACACCGGUGGCGAAGGCGGCAUCCUGGACCGGCAUUGACGCUGAGGCGCGAAAGCCAGGGGAGCAAAC
rnacentral:rRNA from 1 species